CUCAGACAUGAUCCACUACUGGCUUCCUUGCUGCUUAACUUGCAGAGGGCCUAUUUUGGGACUUUAUCUUGUGAUCAUGUGAAUCAAUUGUCCUUAAUAAACUCCCUUUCAUAUAUACAUCUCUCAUAUUAGUCCUGUCCCUCUAGAGAACCCUGAC